GUCUAUGGCCAUGCCACCCUGAACACACCCGAUCCCGUCUGAUCUCGGAAGCUAAGCAAGGUCAGGCCUGGUUAGUACUUCGAUAGGAGACCACCUAGGAAGACUAGGUGCUAUAGGCA
rnacentral:rRNA from 1 species